rnacentral:rRNA from 1 species
UACCAGCACCCCGAGUGGUCGGGACGAUUAUUGGGCCUAAAGCAUCCGUAGCCGGUUCUACAAGUCUUCCGUUAAAUCCACCUGCUUAACAGAUGGGCUGCGGAGGAUACUAUGGAGCUAGGAGGCGGGAGAGGCAAGCGGUACUUAGUGGGUAGGGGUAAAAUCCGUUGAUCCAUUGAAGACCACCAGUGGCGAAGGCGGCUUUCUGGACGGUAACUGACGCUGAGACGCGAAAGCGUGGGGAGCAAACAGG